rnacentral:rRNA from 1 species
GACGAACGCUGGCGGCGUGCUUAACACAUGCAAGUCGUACGGUAAGGCCCUUUCGGGGGUACACGAGUGGCGAACGGGUGAGUAACACGUGAGUAACCUGCCCACAACUUUGGGAUAACGCUAGGCAACUGGCGCUAAUACUGGAUAUGUGCUCCUGCUGCCUGCAGGGGGUUGGAAAGCUUCGGCGGUUGUGGAUGGACUCGCGCCCUAGCAGCUUGUUGGUGGGGUAGUGGCUUACCAAGGCAGCGACGGGUAGCCGGCCUGAGAGGGUGACCGGCCACAUUGGGACUGAGAUACGGCCCAGACUCCUACGGGGGGCAGCAGGGGGGAAUAUUGCAAAAUGGGCGGAAGCCUGAUGCAGCAACGCCGCGGGCGGGAUGACGGCCUUCGGGUUGUAACCCGCUUUCGCCUGGGACGAAGCGUUUGUGGCGGGAACGGGUAAAGAAGCACCGGCUAAAUACGUG